AAUGAACGUUGGCGGCGUGGAUUAGGCAUGCAAGUCGUGCGCGAAUCGUAGCAAUACGAGGAGAGCGGCGAAAGGGAGAGGAUAGCAUAGAUACCUACCCUCGGACCUGGGAUAGCUAUGGGAAACUAUAGGUAAUACCAGAUAAUGUCUCCGGACCAACGGUGUGAUUCCGUCCGGGGAGGGGUCUAUGUCCUAUUAGCUUGUUGGUGAGGUAACGGCUCACCAAGGCAAAGAUGGGUACGAGGCGUGAGAGCGUGUCCUCGCUCACUGGGACUGAGACACUGCCCAGACACCUACGGGUGGCUGCAGUCGAGAAUCUUCGGCAAUGGGCGCAAGCCUGACCGAGCGACGCCGCGUGUGGGAUGAAGGCCUUCGGGUUGUAAACCACUGUCAGUGCGGAGGAAAUAUAGUGGGGUUCUCCCCAUUAUUUGACAUAUGCGCAGAGGAAGGACGGGCUAAGUUCGUGCCAGCAGCAGCCGCGG
rnacentral:rRNA from 1 species